rnacentral:rRNA from 1 species
AACGAACGCUGGCGGCGUGCCUAAUACAUGCAAGUCGAACGAGAAAGUGACUUCGGUCAUGAGUAAAGUGGCAGACGGGUGAGUAAUACAUAGGUAACUUUCCCCCUAGUUGAGAAUAACCUUCCGAAAGGAGGGCUAAUACUGAAUGAGACCACAGUCACUUCGGUGACAGCGGUCAAAGAUGGCCUCUACUUGUAAGCUAUCGCUUGGGGAUGGGCUUAUGCACCAUUAGCUAGUUGGUAGGGUAACGGCCUACCAAGGCGACGAUGGUUAGCUGAUCUGAGAGGUUGAUCAGCCACACUGGAACUGAGACACGGUCCAGACUCCUACGGGAGGCAGCAGUAGGGAAUAUUGCGCAAUGGACGAAAGUACUGACGCAGCGACGCCGCGUGGGUGAUGAAGGAUUUCGGUUCGUAAAGCCCUGUCGAGGAGAGAAAAACGUUAGUGGCUAACAUCCACGACGACUGACGGUAUCCUCAAACGGAAGCACCGGCUAACUACGUG